GUUUAUGUUACCAUGUUGUUGCACAUCAUGCAUCAGCCAGAAAUCUAUCAUGGUUGCUAGGACGAUGAUCCGUGGACACCUGGGAGUGCAGAGUUUUUCUUGAGGCAACCUUCCGAGAGUCCAGACCGCAACACCACUUUGCCGCAUACAACAUUCACCUAUGAACAGCACCUUCAGUUGAGAGCGCAAUUAUGGGUUAGCGGAGAUCGUUGCACUGGAAAACCAUCUGCAGAGCAUACCAUGGUUCAUGCUUUUGGAGAACCUGGUAUGUAUGUGCACUUGUGUGCAGUUUACGUGCUGCUUCCCUCUAUGUUUAUUAUCUUUCUAUUCCUGAUGUCUGUGAAUACAGUGGAGCGUCAGAAACAGCCACCAGUGCCUAGCUACGACACACCGCCUAGCAGCUCCCUCAUCGGUAGUUGCACAGGUGAACAAGGCAGUAAGGAUACUGCUGUGGGAAAGAG